rnacentral:ribozyme from 13 species
AUCAAGAGAAAGACAAGAUGGAAGUUGCCCAUUGAAACUCAUUCACUUCUCUUUUUCUUUUUUCCUCUUCUUUGUAUUAUACUUUUGCUUGCAAAUUGAGAUGGGGAUUUUUCUAAUUAUCUUCUCACAAAAAAUGAGUAAAGUCUUCUUGAUAA